rnacentral:lncRNA from 1 species
UUCCCUUGAACUGAAUUUUAAUGUGCGUAUUGUUAUGCGUUUACUUUUCUGCAUUGGCUAGAGGUAUAGGGGAGGGUUGAGAUCUCACCAACAUGUUUAACCCCGCCGCAUUUUUGCGCCUGUCCCAAGUCAGGAGCCUCUGGCCUUUGUUAGUCUUGUAUCAUUUUAACUUUUAGUUUCUUGUGUACAAUUUGGAGUUUAGUAUGG